CGGGAUGUAGCGCAGUGGUAGCGCGCCUGCUUUGGGAGCAGGAUGUCGUAGGUUCAAUCCCUACCAUCCCGA
rnacentral:tRNA from 1 species